AACAUUAGUCUAAAAAGACAGCUGAUUUCGACUCAGCAGAUUAUGGUUUAACUCCAUAAUGUUUU
rnacentral:tRNA from 1 species